UACGUAGGGUGCGAGCGUUAAUCGGAAUUACUGGGCGUAAAGCGUGCGCAGGCGGCUCGUUAAGUCAGGUGUGAAAGCCCCGAGCUUAACUUGGGAAUUGCGCUUGUGACUGGCGUGCUGGAGUGUGGCAGAGGGAGGUGGAAUUCCACGUGUAGCAGUGAAAUGCGUAGAGAUGUGGAGGAACACCAAUGGCGAAGGCAGCCUCCUGGGCCAGCACUGACGCUCAUGCACGAAAGCGUGGGGAGCAAACAGG
rnacentral:rRNA from 1 species